UACGUAGGGGGCAAGCGUUGUCCGGAUUUACUGGGCGUAAAGAGCGCGUAGGCGGAAGCUUAAGUGUGGCCUGAAAGCCCCCGGCUCAACCGGGGAGGGUGGCUGCAAACUGGGCUUCUUGAGGUCGAUAGAGGAGAGCGGAAUUCCUGGUGUAGCGGUGAAAUGCGUAGAUAUCAGGAGGAACACCGGUGGCGAAGGCGGAUCUCUGGGCCAUUACUGACGCUGAGGAGCGAAAGCGUGGGGAGCGAACAGG
rnacentral:rRNA from 1 species